rnacentral:lncRNA from 12 species
UUGCUGGGUGAGCUUUCUGUCUGAAUCUGCAUUUUACAUCCUCAGCGAGGCUGGCAUUUCUUUGUCAGCAGAGGCUUUCAUAUAUUUUUUAUGUUUCAUUUUUGAAUCCUAGCAUGCUGCCUUUUCCCACAAAGCACUGGCUCAAAAAAUAGGGAUUGGCUGAUAUUUCACCUACUUUUGUCUCCUCAAAAUUGCCCCAGGGUCACGAGCUAGCUGAACUCAGCCUACAUGAGGUCGUUACUACAAAGUAACAACAUGUUUAUUCCUUUAUCUGUUUAUCUAGGAGCCCUGCCAUGACUCACACAACCAAAUGAGGACUCCUGCCAUAUAGGGAGGCACUUUGAAGGCUAUUAUUCCAAGGAACCUGUCACCUUUCAAAACAUUUAUAGAACUCCUGCUUUGAAUCAGUGCCAAUGUCGGGAUGGUGAAUCCUCAUACCACCUGAGAACAAUUAUUUUGGGAAACAAUGAAAGUCACGUUGGCUAAGUUUGCCAGAAAACCUGGUCCGGGCUCAGAGCUGAGCAGCUGUUCCUGAUAUUAUAUUGUUCAAAAUGGGCCAACACAGCUGGGCUUCAGGGAAAGGUGAAGGCUCUCUGGCCCUUCAGAUGCCCAGCGUGCACCCCUCCCCACGGCCAGUCUUGUCCUCUGGAGUCAGACCCCUGACCUGGGAGGUGUGGAGCUAGUGGUUCCAAGCUCAGCCUCAAUGAGAUCACCUGGGUUUGCUUCCCUGCCUCUACUACCCGUGAAUCUUGGCAAGUCACUCCACCUUUACGUAAGACCAGUGCCUAGCGCCUGUGAGGGAUCCAGUGUGCUCCGUCUUCUCUCAUUUUGAAUCCACGUCUCUGAUUCUGGACUAGAAUUCUGAGCUGGAGUCCGGCCUAGGCCUCCCUUGACUUCACCCUAGCACUUUGGGGUACUCAAAUCUUGCUCCUGACCUCUAUUUCUCUGGCUGAAUCCCUCUCAGGAAGGGUGCAUAAACUCUUUUUUUUUUUCUUGUUUUGAAAAUUUGUCUCUUAACCUAGGGGCUGGCAAACUAUGGCCCGUGAGUCAUGUCUGGCCUACUGCCUGCUUUUGUAAAUAAAAUUUUAUUGGAACACA